GGUCACAUGACUCAGUUGGUAGAGCAUGGCACUUACAACGCUAGGGUUGUGGGUUUGAUUCCCACGGGGGACCA
rnacentral:tRNA from 1 species